rnacentral:rRNA from 1 species
UCCGAUAGGCAAAUCCGUCGGAAUAAUGCUGGGGUACGAUGCGGAGCGAAAUUUAGUAGCGAAGUAGCUGAUUUCACACUGUCGAGAAAAGUCUCUAUCGAGGUUAAAGGUGCCUGUACCGCAAACCGACACAGGUGGGUGAGGAGAGUAUCCUAAGGCCAGCGAGAGAACUGUUGUUAAGGAACUCGGCAAAAUGACCCCGUAACUUAGGGAGAAGGGGUGCCUUCGAAAGAAGGCCGCAGAGAAUAGGCCCAAGCGACUGUUUACCAAAAACAUAGGUUUCUGCUAAGUCGCAAGACGAUGUAUAGGAGCUGACGCCUGCCCGGUGCUGGAAGGUUAAGGGGAUCUGUUAGAGCAAUCGAAGCAGUGAACUUAAGCCCCAGUAAACGGCGGCCGUAACGAUAACGGUCCUAAGGUAGCGAAAUUCCUUGUCGGGUAAGUUCCGACCCGCACGAAAGGCGUAACGAUUUGGGCACUGUCUCAACAACAGACUCGGUGAAAUUGUAAUACCGGUGAAGAUGCCGGUUACCUGCGACAGGACGGAAAGACCCCAUGGAGCUUUACUGUAGCUUGACAUUGAGUCUCGGUGCUACAUGUACAGGAUAGGUGGGAGACUAUGAAGCAUGGACGUCAGUCUGUGUGGAGUCAUCCUUGGGAUACCACCCUUGUAGUACUGGGAUUCUAACCAGAGGCCAUGAAUCUGGUCUUGGGACACUGUCAGGUGGACAGUUUGACUGGGGCGGUCGCCUCCCAAAAAGUAACGGAGGCGCUCAAAGGUUCUCUCAGUACGGUCGGAAAUCGUACGAAGAGUGUAAAGGCAAAAGAGAGCUUGAUUGCAAGACAUACAGGUCGAGCAAGGACGAAAGUCGGACUUAGUGAUCCGGUGGUUCCGCAUGGAAGGGCCAUCGCUCAACGGAUAAAAGCUACCCUGGGGAUAACAGGCUGAUCUCCCCCAAGAGUCCACAUCGACGGGGAGGUUUGGCACCUCGAUGUCGGCUCAUCACAUCCUGGGGCUGUAGUAGGUCCCAAGGGUUGGGCUGUUCGCCCAUUAAAGUGGUACGCGAGCUGGGUUCAGAACGUCGUGAGACAGUUCGGUCCCUAUCCGUCGCAGGCGUAGGAAAUUUGAGGAGACCUGUCCUUAGUACGAGAGGACCGGGAUGGACGUACCGCUGGUGUACCAGUUGUUCUGCCAAGGGCAUGGCUGGGUAGCUAAGCACGGAAAGGAUAAGCGCUGAAAGCAUCUAAGCGCGAAGCCCACUUCAAGAUAAGAUUUCCCACCGCAAGGUUAAGAUCCCAGGAAGACUACCUGGUUGAUAGGUCAGAGGUGUAAGUGCAGUAAUGCAUUUAGCUUACUGAUACUAAUAGAUCGAGGACUUGACC